UCCCUUCAGAUUCUUGUCGGGUUAUGUAUAACGAGUUUGCAAAGCACGACAUUGCUCACACACUCUUAUAGCCGGGAUAUUAUUUUCCCGGCAUUUUUUU
rnacentral:sRNA from 1 species